rnacentral:lncRNA from 1 species
ACCAAUCCAUCAUAGUGUGAGGUUGAUGUUGAUGUUAUAAUGAGUUUUAUAGGGACUUUCUUGAUGUAAAACUAUACAUUUUUAUUUUUUUUGUUUAAUAUGGUAUUUCCAUUUUAAUAUAAUUUACUACCAUUUUAAGAUAGAUGUACAUUUUAAGAUAGAUGCUUAAAUCUUAAUGUUCUUUUUCUAUUUUUUAAAAUGUUUAUUUCUAUUUCUUAAAUUUUUUUACGUAAUAUCUAUAUUUUAUAUUUUAAAAUAGAUAUUUAAAUCUUAAUGUACUUUUUCCAUUUUUUUCAAAUUGUGUAUUAACUUAUAUUAUAUAUUUUACAUUUUAAGAUAGAUGUUUAAUGCUUAAUGAACUUUUUCCAUUUUUUAAAAAAAAUUGUGUAUUUACUUAUUAUUAUAUAGAUAAUUCAUAUAUUAUAUAUUUACAUUAUCUACUUAUUAUUUAUUGAUAAUUCAUAUAUUAUAUAUUUAAUGCUUAAUGUUUAUUUCCACUUCAUGACUUUUUAUUUACUUAAUAUCUCUAUUUUACAUUUUAAGAUAGAUGUUUAAAUCUUAAUGUACGUUUUUCUUUUUUUUUUAAAUUGUAUAUUUCCAUUUGUUAUGCUUUCUAUUUACGUAAUAUCUAUAUUUAAAAUUUUAAGAUAUAUUUUUAAAUCUUAAUGCAAUUUUCCAUUUUUUAAUUUGGGUAUUUACUUAUAUUAUAUAUUUACUUAUGAUUUAUUUUUCUUUAUAUUGUGU